CCUACGGGGGGCAGCAGUAGGGAAUAUUGCUCAAUGGGGGAAACCCUGAAGCAGCCACGCCGCGUGAAGGAUGAAGGUUUUAGGAUUGUAAACUCCUUUUGUUAGAGAAGAUUAUGAAGGUAUCUGACGAAUAAGCACCGGCUAACUCCGGGCCAGCAGCCGCGGUAAUACGGAGGGUGCAAGCGUUACUCGGAAUCACUGGGCGUAAAGAGUUCGUAGGCGGGGUAAUAAGUCAGAUGUGAAAUCCUGUAGCUUAACUACAGACCUGCAUGUGAAACUGGUACUCUGGAGUGUGGGAGAGGUAGGUGGAAUUCUUGGUGUAGGGGUAAAAUGCGUAGAGAUCAAGAGGAAUACUCAUUGCGAAGGCGACCUGCUGGAACAUUACUGACGCUGAGGCACGAAAGCGUGGGGAGCAAACAGGAUUAGAUACCCUAGUAGUC
rnacentral:rRNA from 1 species